UUCAGAUGUCAUCUGGGUGAUUCUCAGUGUGGAGGUGGGUGGACUUUUAGGAGUAACGCAGCAGCUGUCAUCUUUUGAAACGGAGUUCAACACACAGCCACAUCGCAAGGUAGAAGGAAACUUCAACCCGUUUGCCUCUCCCCAAAAGAACCGACAAUCAGAUGAAAACAACUUAAAAGACCCUGGGGGUUCCGGGUUCGACUCGAUCAGCAAAAACACAUGGGCUCCUGCUCCUGACCAAACCGAGCAAGAUCAGAAUAGACUCUCACAGAACUCUGUAAAUCUGUCCCCCAGCAGUCACGCAAACAACUUAUCAGUAGUGACUUACAGUAAGGGGCUCCACGGGCCUUACCCCUUCGGCCAGUCUUAAACGGGUGUCAGCAAGAAGAAAAAUUAAAAGACGGAAGGCCUGACUUUUGGGGGGAGGGCAAGGGGUUCCUCUGGAUUUCAGACCACAUCGCACGGACCCCUCGCUCUGAUCCCCCCGUCCUGGAAGAAGAGGAGGAAGCAGAACAGACUAGUUUUGAGUAAACUCAGUAUGCGUGUGUGAAUGCUGAAUCACAGGAAUGGUGUUGAGGCUACCAAGAAGAAAUUCAUGCAGCCACCUUGGGGUUUGCUUGUUAGGCGUCAAUCGAGUCAUUAGGUCACUCGGGAAGGGAAAAAAAGUUUAAAAUGGGGGAAAAAAAAGCCAUCUUUUUAAACAAAAAUUAUUUUGCCUACAGAGAGGUUGUAGUUUUGAGCACAUGUUAAUUUUUUCCCCCUCUUUCCCCACUUUUAUUUUUUUAAAUAAGGGAUAACAUACUCUUUAAAGAAUAGUGCUUGCUCUGGAAGCGAUUCAGGUUAAAAGCUGGCGUGGCAUGUUUGGGGACUCUGCGGAUCAGUGCUACAGGAGUUCAUCAGCGGUGCCACAUGACUCCAGAAGUCUCUGACCCCAUUUGUUUUUAAUGGCAUCAGCCAAUGAGUUAUCACCCUUUUCCUCCUCUUUUCCCUUUAAUCUUCUGUUGAUUUACACCUUUGACAUUUGUAUUCAUCAACCCUGUGGCUUGUUAGCACCAGAACCUCUCUGAAGACCAAACUUCCCUAUGUUGUCAGCAGAGGAAGCCUUGAGGACAUAUCUCAGUGACGUGGGAGUUUCUGAAGCCGAGAGGUGUCCUUCUGCACACACUUGUAACAAUUCAAAUUGUUUUUCUUCCAUGUUUCUCUUGGCAGAGAGAAAUGGCAUCAUGCUUACUUUUUUGGAUUCUUCAUGCAUUGGCUCCCCAUUUGCUCUGGGAACUUACCUCUGUACUGGGUAUGUGUUUGAGCCACGUGCACACACACGGGUGUUGGUGCAGCUCACCAGCAAGUGUGCAACAGGAGAGUGUGAAGGUGUCCCAUGCUUCUCUGUUGUCACACAACUUUCUUCCCUGUUUUUCCUUCCCUGUGGUGUUUUCACAGCCUGUUAGUGGGGCUGAGCUGUUAAGGUAUGAAGAUACAGCCCUGAAUAGGGAAUUUGUCAUGGAGAAGGGCCACGGUCACUGACUACCUGAUCUUGGAGACCACAUUUAGACGGAAAUGAGAGGACCCCUCUACCCCUCAGUUCCCUCACCCUGAGCAGGGUGCUCGGUUAUUGGUGGGGAGGUAGGCAAGGGGCAGUCCAAAUGGAUUGGCUGGCUGCUCACCUGGGCAGUUGGCCCUACUGGCAUCCUGCAAAUUCCAAGCAGGUUGAGGUGUGGAUAUCUCCAUGAGAAGCUUGAACCAGGCUAGAACAGCUGUCUGCCAAAGAUACAAGAAUAUGCAAAGUCCUUCUCUUCUUACCCCCUCCUUCCCUUGAGUCUUUGUUUGAGAGCAAGCCGGGGAUACGGAUAUGGGGUGUGGUUGCAGGGUCGUCUGCCUGUUACCACACCCCCAUCCACCCUGGGGGUGAGACAAGCAGGGAGACCAGGUGAUGAGUGGCUGCAAGGGGUCAUAUAGCCUGGGUAUGGAUGAGGGUCUGCCUGCCUGUCUGUUUCUGUCUGGGUAUCUGAGAUCCAAAAAAUGUGUGAUGUUUGUUCCUCCUCAUCCUCUUCUGAGACUGUUGUUUUUUAAAGCUUGAUUGUGAGAGAAAAACUUGUAUGGAAUUCCCCCUUCACCUGCCCAACCCCCCAAAAAUAAAAGGGGGAAUGAAUUUGGUCCACUGGGGAAGCCCUGGUGGAGGGUGGAGCCAGCCUGCUGAGAAGGGCAAUGCAGCUGGGUCUAGGGCUAGACCAGGGCUUACUCUGGAGCACCUACUUUUUGUGCAUCUGUGAGUGCUCCAUUCCCUAGCAGAGCAGUGGGGAGACCCUGCCAGGCACCCAGCCACAGGGCUCAGGAUGGCUUUUUGUCUGAGGGCCUAUUUAGGCCCUGACUACUGCUGCUGUUGGUGCCAGUUUCCUAGGACACUGCCACUCUGGAGCCCAUGCAUGCCCAGCAACUCUUCAUUUGAUAGCCUUGAAGUACCACCUCUGCAACUGCUCCUGGCAGGAUCAUGGGAGGUCCCUGCUUUCCUGGCUUCCUUGUCAGCCCCAUACUAGGUGCUCUUUCCCAGUUUCCCAGCAGGGGCUUCUUAGGUCACCAUCAGUGAGUUUAGCCCUGUCAGAGACAUCCUGCUCCUCCUCUUGCCUAUAGGUAACCUUACCUGGCAAGUUAAAUGUCCCAAGCACCUUGGCUUUCUUCCCAAGAACAUACCAUUUCCGUGCACAUCCUUGGAGAGGUGAGUUCCUUGUAGAGGGUCAGAGCAAGUGCAAGCUUUGGCAUGGGGGCUGAGGAGGCCUGUGGUUCCCCAAGCCCAGGAGGGUAUCAGUACCAUUCAUUCUCUCUCCCAUCACUGGUACGGGUUCCUGAGCAAUGCAUAGAGCCCCUCUCUACCCUGCCUAGUGGGGUGGUAGAGGCCAACUCCCAGCCCCAGUAGUCCAUGCUCUUAGAAUCUUCACCAAGUGGCAGGCCACCUCUGGGCAGGACCACCAGCGUCUGGCACCCAGGAGGUGAGGCAGGCACCAUUUAUAAGUGGUAGGGCCUGGACCCAGUUGGGGAGACAGAGGGGCUCAGCCUUGGGAAGAACCUGUCUGUGUGCAUGUUGUGUGUGGAGUGAGGUGUGUGUGUGUGUGUGUGUGUACGUGUGCAUGCCUUUUUUCUUUUUGCUGUGGGGACAGUUGAAUUUGGGGCAUUUUUCUACAAGAAAUAGCUUUCUGUCACCCAGAAAGGACUGACUGUAACCUUAUGCCCAUCAAAGGCACUUCCAGCCUGGAGAGAACCUUACCAACACAGUUGGUUUGGCCAGAGGGUGGCCAAGGUCAGAGGUGGGCAUGAGAAUAAAUACAUCCCUAAAUUCAGCCUGAGCCCCAGCAGGAAGGGAUGGUAGGGUUGCCAGGGCUCAGAAAUGCAAGCUGAUUCCCCACCCCACCCUCCUUGCCUCACCUUUCCUUUGUUUCCCUGGGUGAAUGCAGGAGCAGCAAUGGCUGCCCCUUCCACCUGGACAGUGGUGUAUGUAGCAAGCAAGCUAGGUGGGUGUUUGUGGUGGGGCCUUAUGGUGCCUAGGAGGAGAUGAAGAUGAGGAGGUUUUUCCUUACUGUAUAAAUGAAUAUUUGUAUGAUUAAAUUAACACACACCAAAAAAA